UAGAAUACCAGUAAUUCUAUUUUCACUAGUUGCAUGGGCAAUUCCUGAUAUCAACUUCAAUGCAACUGUAAUGUUCCCAGGUCCAGAAACGUAGUAAGGACAUCAAUAAAACAGACCAUGUGACAUCAGUGGCUCAACUUCAGUUUUAUGAAGUGCAAUCUAUUCUGCUUACCCGACUCAUGCAGACUUCUGUCCUGAUGUUUGGCUGUAGUCCUUCCAUCAUCCAGUCUUUUGCAACCGGUCUAUUUAUGGAGACCACCAUGAUCUAAUCUAUACAGAUCUAGUUGUCUCUUCUCCCACAAACUCCUCUUUCAGAUUUUGAGCGGAUCUCCUUCAUUCUGCAGCCAGCUCACCAGAACCUCUGGGUGCACCAGCUGUGGAUAUUACAGGCCAAACUUUGGUUUUCACAUUGUUUGGAGGACAAAAUCGGGAAGGAUGUAGGGGCCCACAGUUUGGGCACACAUACACAGUUCAUCUUUGGGUUUGUUGCUCUGUGCUGUUUGAUUGUAUGGUAGUCAGAAGAACUUUGUUCAGUUUUAUUCAUUACUGUCAGCUUUCACAGCAAUACUGCUUAAUGAGCAAUUAUCUCUAUCAAACAUGGACCUUAAAGGGAUGGUUCACCCAAAAACAUUAUUCAAAUAAAUAUUGAGACAGUCAUGUUCAUGAAUCUGAUUUCAGUGGCACAGCUGUGUAGUAUCUAGUACAGAGGUCGUUGACAGUAUUGUGUUCAUUGUAUGCCGCGUUUCCACCAACAUUACCUGGAACUUUUCUCCCAGGAACUUUUUUGUCCCCCCAGACCCGUUGCCUUCUGCAUUUCCACCGCGGUCUAAAGUACCGGGAAGAUUAUGAUAAUUUGGCCGGUGACGUAGUAUUGCGUGCGACUGCUUCUUCUUGUCAGGUACAGACCGCAAUCAUUCUUAUGCGACAGAAAAGGUAGAAUGGAUGAGAUCCAAGGAGUUCUGCUUCUGCUCAUGUUGUAUUGGUUUACUCAAGAAAUGAUGAACCAAACGGCAGAAAAAAGACGAGCACUGAUUGUAAAGCGUAUCCAGAAAGCUCGUAAUGCUCGAUACAAAACGAGACAAACUUUCUUAUCAGCAAUUGCCGACAUCGACCGUGAGAUGGCUGGGACGAACGCGCGACAUCGAGCAGAAAGAACAAGAUUGAUUUGCGAGUACUAUCGAAUGCGUCGCGUUGCGCCAUCAGUUUGGGUACACAAUAGAACAACUGCGUGGUGGGACAGCGUGGUUUCGACUUUCACCGAGGCCCAGUGGAUAAAGAAUUUCCGGAUGUCUAAAGAUACUUUUAUGUACCUCUGUCGUCGAUUGCAACCUCAACUAGAGAGACAAGACACAAACUACAGACUUUGUAUAACCAUCGAAAAAAGAAUUGCCAUUGCACUAUAGAAACUAGCAACCAACUCCGAGUACAGAAGCAUCUCUCAUUUAUUUGGAAUUGGAGUUGCUACUGUGUGUCGAUGUGUUCAUGAUUUUUGCUCCGCUGUUGAGAAGGUACUCAUGCCAGAAGUCAUUAAAUUACCAAACAGUGAAAAGUUAAAAGAAAUGGCUACAUAUUUUGAACGCAGAUGGGGGUUGCCACAGUGUGUAGGUGCAAUUGAUGGGUCACAUAUCCCCAUUCUUGGACCUGAGGACUACCACACAGAGUACUUCCACCGAAAGGGCUGGCAUUCGAUCAUCCUGCAGGCUGUUGUGGAUGGAAGGGGUCUUUUUUGGAAUGUUUUUGUUGGAGCACCAGGCAGCCUGCAUGAUGCCAGAGUGCUGCGUUUGUCAGGUUUGUGGGGACUAGUGGAUAGGGGUUUGUUACUACCUGAUGUAACAAAAAACAUUUGUGGACAUGACGUGGGGUACUUUGUCCUUGGUGAUGCAGCUUAUCCUUUGAAGAGCUGGCUGAUGAAACCUUUUACUGACAACGGACAACUGACACCCCAAAAAAUUGUGUACAAUCAAAAAACAAGCAGAGCCAGGGUGGUGGUGGAGAAUGCUUUUGGCAGACUAAAAGGAAGAUGGAGGUGUUUGCUAAAAAGAAAUGACUGCAGUACGCACAAGGUCAAAUCCCUGGUGAUAGCAUGUUGUGUUCUGCAUAACCUUUGUGAAAUGAAUGGUGAUGAGUUUAGGGAAGAAUGGGUGACAAGUGCAUUAAAGCAGCCUGAUGGUGCUCAGUCGCCCACUGUAGAGGCUGAGGGACUAGAUGCACGCACAGCUCUAAUGCAGUUUUUGACGACAACAUAGUAAGCUGCAGUAUCACUGCAAUGUAAUGUGAACAGCUGUAAUGUGCCUUGUGUUAAUGCUGAUAAACCUGUUAUACAACAUUGCA